GACGAACGCUGGCGGUAUGCUUAACACAUGCAAGUCGAACGAGACGGGAUGGAAGGAGCCUUCGGGUGACGGAAAUCCUAGAAAGUGGCGAACGGGUGAGUAACGCGUGGGUAACCUGCCCUAUGGAAGGGAAUAGCCUCGGGAAACUGGGAGUAAUGCCUUAUAAUAUACAGAAGUCGCAUGGCUUUUGUAUUAAACGCUCCGGUGCCAUAGGAUGGACCCGCGUCCCAUUAGCUAGUUGGUGAGAUAACAGCCAACCAAGGCGACGAUGGGUAACCGGUCUGAGAGGGCGAACGGUCACACUGGAACUGAGACACGGUCCAGACUCCUACGGGAGGCAGCAGUGGGGAAUAUUGCGCAAUGGGGGCAACCCUGACGCAGCAAUACCGCGUGAGUGAAGAAGGUUUUCGGAUCGUAAAGCUCUGUUAUUGGGGAAGAAAAAAGACGGUACCCAAGAAGAAAGUCCCGGCUAACUCUGUGCCAGCAGCCGCCGUAA
rnacentral:rRNA from 1 species